rnacentral:rRNA from 1 species
AUUGAACGCUGGCGGCAGGCUUAACACAUGCAAGUCGAGCGGAGAGAGGUAGCUUGCUACCAAUCUUAGCGGCGGACGGGUGAGUAAUGCUUAGGAAUCUGCCUAUUAGUGGGGGACAACAUUUCGAAAGGAAUGCUAAUACCGCAUACGUCCUACGGGAGAAAGCAGGGGAUCUUCGGACCUUGCGCUAAUAGAUGAGCCUAAGUCGGAUUAGCUAGUUGGUGGGGUAAAGGCCUACCAAGGCGACGAUCUGUAGCGGGUCGGAGAGGAUGACCCGCCACACUGGGACUGAAACACGGCCCAGACUCCUCGGGGAGGCAGCAGUGGGGAAUAUUGGACAAUGGGCGCAAGCCUGAUCCAGCCAUGCCGCGUGUGUGAAGAAGGCCUUAUGGUUGUAAAGCACUUUAAGCGAGGAGGAGGCUACUGAAACUAAUACUCUUGGAUAGUGGACGUUACUCGCAGAAUAAGCACCGGCUAACUCUGUGCCAGCCGCCGCCGUAAAAC